UACGGAGGAUUCAAGCGUUAUCCGGAUUUAUUGGGUUUAAAGGGUGCGUAGGCGGUCGGAUAAGUUAGAGGUGAAAUCCCGAGGCUCAACUUCGGAAUUGCCUCUGAUACUGUUCGGCUAGAGAGUAGUUGCGGUAGGCGGAAUUCCGUGUGUAGCGGUGAAAUGCGUAGAUAUACGGAGGAACACCAGUGGCGAAGGCGGCCUGCUGGACAUUAACUGACGCUGAGGCGCGAAAGCGUGGGGAGCAAACAGG
rnacentral:rRNA from 1 species